AGAGUUUGAUCAUGGCUCAGGAUGAACGCUAGCUACAGGCUUAACACAUGCAAGUCGAGGGGAAACGACAUCGAAAGCUUGCUUUUGAUGGGCGUCGACCGGCGCACGGGUGAGUAACGCGUAUCCAACCUGCCCACCACUUGGGGAUAACCUUGCGGAAGUAAGACUAAUACCCAAUGACGUCUCUAGAAGACAUCUGAAGGAGAUUAAAGAUUUAUCGGUGAUGGAUGGGGAUGCGUCUGAUUAGCUUGUUGGCGGGGUAACGGCCACAAGGCGACGAUCAGUAGGGGUUCUGAGAGGAAGGUCCCCCANAUUGGAACUGAGACACGGUCCAAACUCCUACGGGAGGCA
rnacentral:rRNA from 1 species